GUCUCAGGAACUGCAACCUUUUGCUUGCUGUGCAUCGCGAUCUAGGUGGCUGUGGUCGGAGUCUCCUGAAUGGCUAAGGUUUGUGAAGAAGGCGCUGAUGAAGAUGUUGAGUCACCUGCAAUUAUAGAAUUAUUUUUAAUAAACAUUUCAUCUCUCUCAUCAGAAAAGAUCCUGCAUCAAAACAUAUUC